GUCAGAUUGGCCGAGCGGUCUAAGGCCGCCAGAUUUAAGCUCUGGUUCCCUAAGGGGAGCGGUGGGUUCGAACCCCACAUCUGACA
rnacentral:tRNA from 1 species